rnacentral:misc_RNA from 1 species
GCUCAUCUGCCAAUUCGCUGACAACCAACUUUGCCCUUCGAUCUACAACUUCAAAUAAAUCUUCUGCGGCUUUAAGCCACGAAGCCAUUGAUAAAAAAAUCCUCCAAUAAAAUAAAAGCCCUAANNNNNNNGGUGGAGCUUCCAUGAACUAAUGAGCGUUGUUAUUAGCGAAUCAGAUAAGUUGUAUUAGCUGGUACAAGAUGGAUUAGAAUCAGUGGAUAUUUGAAGAAACGCAAUGGAUUCG